AAACAUCAGAGGGACCUGGCAGUGACAUCUCUGUCACCCACUGAUCACUGGGCACAUCUGAUUGAUCUAAUUGGGUAGGUGGGGUGUCUCCUUCCUCUGCUCAUUGCUCUACAUGUGCCCCUCCAACAGUCAUACACCCAAAGAAGACAGCCUUCCCUGACAGUGUCUGAGUAGCCCACACCCCCAGCUAGAAUCUCCAAACAAGCUCUU
rnacentral:sRNA from 1 species